CAAAGAUCGUGGCCCCGCACACGGCUCAGUAAUACGUAGUCAACCUACCCUUGGGACGGGGACAACCUCGGGAAACUGAGGCUAAUCCCCGAUAGGCGAGGGACGCUGGGAUGCCCUCUCGCCCAAAGCUCCGGCGCCCGAGGAUGGGACUGCGACCUAUCAGGCUGUUGGUGGUGUGACGGACCACCAAACCUACGACGGGUACGGGCGAUGGGAGUCGGAGCCCGGAGAUGGGGACUGAGACAAGGCCCCAGGCCCUACGGGGCGCAGCAGGCGCGAAAACUCUGCAAUGCGCGCAAGCGUGACGGGGGGACCCCAAGUGCCGUUGGUCUUUUGAUCGACGACUUUUAGGAAGUUUAAGAAGCUUUCAGAAUAAGGGCUGGGUAAGACUGGUGCCAGCCGCCGCGGUAACACCAGCAGCCCAAGUAGUGGCCGCGAUUAUUGGGCCUAAAGCGCUCGUAGCCGGGCCAGCAAGUCCUUUGUGAAAUCGGGCCGCCUAACGGUUCGGCGUGCAAAGGAUACUGUUGGCCUUGAGGCCGGGAGAGGUCUGAGGUACUCCUGGGGUAGCGGUGAAAUGCUCUAAUCCUGGGGGGACCACCAGUGGCGAAGGCGUCCGACCAGAACGGA
rnacentral:rRNA from 1 species